rnacentral:rRNA from 1 species
GUGCCCAGAUGGGAUUAGCUUGUUGGUGAGGUAACGGCUCACCAAGGCGACGAUCCCUAGCUGGUCUGAGAGGAUGACCAGCCACACUGGAACUGAGACACGGUCCAGACUCCUACGGGAGGCAGCAGUGGGGAAUAUUGCACAAUGGGCGCAAGCCUGAUGCAGCCAUGCCGCGUGUAUGAAGAAGGCCUUCGGGUUGUAAAGUACUUUCAGCGGGGAGGAAGGGAGUAAGGUUAAUAACCUUAUUCAUUGACGUUACCCGCAGAAG